rnacentral:rRNA from 1 species
UACGUAGGGAGCAAGCGUUGUCCGGAAUCAUUGGGCGUAAAGCGCGCGUAGGUGGCUCCAUAAGUCCGUUGUGAAAGUCAAAGGCUCAACCUUUGAAAGCCGAUGGAUACUGUGGAGCUAGAGUACGGAAGAGGCGAGUGGAAUUCCUGGUGUAGCGGUGGAAUGCGCAGAUAUCAGGAGGAACACCAAUAGCGAAGGCAGCUCGCUGGGACGUUACUGACGCUGAGGAGCGAAAGCGUGGGGAGCGAACAGG